UUCGCUCCGAUGCUCUAGAUUACGCGAAGAACUUACCUACACUUGACAUCCUCGGAACUUUCUAGAGAUAGAUUGGUGCCUUCGGGAACCGAGUGACAGGUGCUGCAUGGCUGUCGUCAGCUCGUGUCGUGAGAUGUUGGGUUAAGUCCCGUAACGAGCGCAACCCUUAUCCUUAUUUGCCAGCGGUUCGGCCGGGAACUCUAAGGAGACUGCCGAUGACAAAUCGGAGGAAGGUGGGGACGACGUCAAGUCAUCAUGGCCCUUACGUGUAGGGCUACACACGUGCUACAAUGGUCGGUACAAACGGUCGCGAACCCGCGAGGGGAAGCCAAUCCGAGAAAGCCGAUCGUAGUCCGGAUUGGGGUCUGCAACUCGACCCCAUGAAGUCGGAAUCGCUAGUAAUCGUGAAUCAGAAUGUCACGGUGAAUACGUUCCCGGGUCUUGUA
rnacentral:rRNA from 1 species